rnacentral:rRNA from 1 species
GAGUUUGAUCAUGGCUCAGAUUGAACGCUGGCGGCAGGCCUAACACAUGCAAGUCGAACGGUAACAGGAAGCAGCUUGCUGUUUCGCUGACGAGUGGCGGACGGGUGAGUAAUGUCUGGGAAACUGCCUGAUGGAGGGGGAUAACUACUGGAAACGGUAGCUAAUACCGCAUAACGUCGCAAGACCAAAGAGGGGGACCUUCGGGCCUCUUGCCAUCGGAUGUGCCCAGAUGGGAUUAGCUAGUAGGUGGGGUAACGGCUCACCUAGGCGACGAUCCCUAGCUGGUCUGAGAGGAUGACCAGCCACACUGGAACUGAGACACGGUCCAGACUCCUACGGGAGGCAGCAGUGGGGAAUAUUGCACAAUGGGCGCAAGCCUGAUGCAGCCAUGCCGCGUGUAUGAAGAAGGCCUUCGGGUUGUAAAGUACUUUCAGCGGGGAGGAAGGGAGUAAAGUUAAUACCUUUACUCAUUGACGUUACCCGCAGAAGAAGCACCGGCUAACUCCGUGCCAGCAGCCGCGGUAAUACGGAGGGUGCAAGCGUUAAUCGGAAUUACUGGGCGUAAAGCGCACGCAGGCGGUUUGUUAAGUCAGAUGUGAAAUCCCCGGGCUCAACCUGGGAACUGCAUCUGAUACUGGCAAGCUUGAGUCUCGUAGAGGGGGUAGAAUUCCAGGUGUAGCGGUGAAAUGCGUAGAGAUCUGGAGGAAUACCGGUGGCGAAGGCGGCCCCCUGGACGAAGACUGACGCUCAGGUGCGAAAGCGUGGGGAGCAAACAGGAUUAGAUACCCUGGUAGUCCACGCCGUAAACGAUGUCGACUUGGAGGUUGUGCCCUUGAGGCGUGGCUUCCGGAGCUAACGCGUUAAGUCGACCGCCUGGGGAGUACGGCCGCAAGGUUAAAACUCAAAUGAAUUGACGGGGGCCCGCACAAGCGGUGGAGCAUGUGGUUUAAUUCGAUGCAACGCGAAGAACCUUACCUGGUCUUGACAUCCACGGAAGUUUUCAGAGAUGAGAAUGUGCCUUCGGGAACCGUGAGACAGGUGCUGCAUGGCUGUCGUCAGCUCGUGUUGUGAAAUGUUGGGUUAAGUCCCGCAACGAGCGCAACCCUUAUCCUUUGUUGCCAGCGGUCCGGCCGGGAACGUCAAAGGAGACUGCCAGUGAUAAACAGGAGGAAGUGGGGGUGACGUCAAGUCAUCAUGGCCCUUACGACCAGGGCUACACACGUGCUACAAUGGCGCAUACAAAGAGAAGCGACCUCGCGAGAGCAAGCGGACCUCAUAAAGUGCGUCGUAGUCCGGAUUGGAGUCUGCAACUCGACUCCAUGAAGUCGGAAUCGCUAGUAAUCGUGGAUCAGAAUGCCACGGUGAAUACGUUCCCGGGCCUUGUACACACCGCCCGUCACACCAUGGGAGUGGGUUGCAAAAGAAGUAGGUAGCUUAACCUUCGGGAGGGCGCUUACCACUUUGUGAUUCAUGACUGGGGUGAAGUCGUAACAAGGUAACCGUAGGGGAACCUGCGGUUGGAUCACC